rnacentral:tRNA from 1 species
GGAGAGAUGGCUGAGUGGUCGAAAGCGCACGCUUGGAGUGCGUGUGCCCCGCUUAGCGGGGCCGAGGGUUCGAAUCCCUCUCUCUCCGCCA